GACGAACGCUGGCGGCGUGCCUAAUACAUGCAAGUAGGACGCAGUUGCGAACGGGUGAGUAACGCGUAGGAAACUGCCUAUUAGAGGGGGAUAACUAUUGGAAAAGAUAGCUAAUACCGCAUCCUAGUAGAUGUACCUGCGUUGUAUUAGCUAGUAGGUAGGGGAAUGGGCUACCUAGGCGACGAUACAUAGCCGACCUGGGGGGGUGAUCGGCCACACUGGGACUGAGACACGGCCCAGACCCCGACGGUAGGCAGCAGUAGGGAAUCUUCGGCAAUGGGGGGAACCCUGACCGAGCAACGCCGCGGGAGUGAAGGAGGUUUGCGGAUCGUAAAGCGCUGUUGUUAAGGAAGCGGUACUUAACCAGAAAGGGACGGCUAACUCCGUGCCAGCAGCCGCGGUAAUAC
rnacentral:rRNA from 1 species